UCGGAGACGGUGCUCGUGCGGGCGGUGAUGCGACACGCGUAUCCGAAAGACUCUCGGCAACGGAUAUCUCGGCUCUUGCAUCGAUGAAGAACGUAGCGAAAUGCGAUACUUGGUGUGAAUUGCAGAAUCCCGUGAACCAUCGAGUCUUUGAACGCAAGUUGCGCCCGAAGCCAUUAGGCUGAGGGCACGCCUGCCUGGGUGUCGCCCAUCGUUGCCCCAUUGCUUUGGCCUCGUGCUAGGCACCGAGCUGGGCGAAUGCUGGCUUCCCGCGAGCAACGCCUCACGGUUGGUUGAAAACUGAGUCCGUGGUGGAGGGCGGCGCCGUGACGGAUGGUGGUUGUU
rnacentral:rRNA from 2 species